GACGUCGAUAUUCGACGUCAUAAACACGAUCAUCUUUGGUGUUUAUGACGUCGAUAUACGACGUCAUAAACACGAUCAACUUUGGUGUAUAUAACGUCGAUAUUCGACUUCAUAAACACGAUCAACUUUGGUGUUUAUUACGGCGAUACUCGAAGUGAUAAACACGAUCAACUUUGGUGUUUAUGACGUCGAUAUUCGAAGUGAUAAACACGAUCAACUUUGGUGUUUUUGACGUCGAUAUUCGACGUCAUAAACACGAUCAACUUUGGUGUUUAUGACGUCGAUAUUCGACGUC
rnacentral:miRNA from 1 species